GACGAACGCUGGCGGCGUGCUUAACACAUGCAAGUCGAACGGAAAGGCCCUGCUUGCAGGGCACUCGAGUGGCGAACGGGUGAGUAACACGUGGGUGAUCUGCCCUGCACUUCGGGAUAAGCCUGGGAAACUGGGUCUAAUACAGGAUAGGAGCCAUUUUUAGUGUGAUGGUUGGAAAGUUUUUUCGGUGUAGGAUGAGCUCGCGGCCUAUCGGCUUGUUGGUGGGGUAAUGGCCUACCAAGGCGGCGACGGGUAGCCGGCCUGAGGGGGUGGCCGGCCACCUUGGGACUGAGAUACGGCCCAGGCUCCUACGGGAGGCAGCAGUGGGGAAUAUUGCCCGAUGGGCGCAAGCCGGAUGCAGCGACGCCGCGUGGGGGAUGACGGCCUUCGGGUUGUAAACUCCUUUCGCUAGGGACGAAGCUUUUUGUGACGGUACCUAGAUAAGAAGCACCGGCUAACUACGUG
rnacentral:rRNA from 1 species